UACGAAGGGGGCUAGCGUUGUUCGGAAUCACUGGGCGUAAAGGGCGCGUAGGCGGCCAUAUAAGUCGGGGGUGAAAGCCUGUGGCUCAACCACAGAAUUGCCUUCGAUACUGUAUGGCUCGAGACCGGAAGAGGUAAGUGGAACUGCGAGUGUAGAGGUGAAAUUCGUAGAUAUUCGCAAGAACACCAGUGGCGAAGGCGGCUUACUGGUCCGGUUCUGACGCUGAGGCGCGAAAGCGUAGGGAGCAAACAGG
rnacentral:rRNA from 1 species